rnacentral:rRNA from 1 species
AUGCAAGUCGAACGAGAAUCUGCGGAAAGAGGAUUCGUCCAAUUGAAGCAGAGGACAGUGGCGGACGGGUGAGUAACGCGUGAGGAACCUGCCUUUCAGAGGGGGACAACAGUUGGAAACGACUGCUAAUACCGCAUGACAUAUAGAUGUCGCAUGGCAUUUAUAUCAAAGAUUUAUCGCUGAAAGAUGGCCUCGCGUCUGAUUAGCUAGUUGGUGAGGUAACGGCCCACCAAGGCGACGAUCAGUAGCCGGACUGAGAGGUUGAACGGCCACAUUGGGACUGAGAUACGGCCCAGACUCCUACGGGAGGCAGCAGUGGGGAAUAUUGGGCAAUGGGCGCAAGCCUGACCCAGCAACGCCGCGUGAAGGAAGAAGGCUUUCGGGUUGUAAACUUCUUUUGUCAGGGACGAGUAGAAGACGGUACCUGACGAAUAAGCCACGGCUAACUACGUGCCAGCAGCCGCGGUAAUACGUAGGUGGCAAGCGUUGUCCGGAUUUACUGGGUGUAAAGGGCGUGUAGCCGGGAGGGCAAGUCAGAUGUGAAAUCCACGGGCUCAACUCGUGAACUGCAUUUGAAACUACUCUUCUUGAGUAUCGGAGAGGCAAUCGGAAUUCCUAGUGUAGCGGUGAAAUGCGUAGAU